rnacentral:rRNA from 1 species
GAUGAACGCUGGCGGCGUGCCUAAUACAUGCAAGUCGAGCGAACGGACGAGAAGCUUGCUUCUCUGAUGUUAGCGGCGGACGGGUGAGUAACACGUGGAUAACCUACCUAUAAGACUGGGAUAACUUCGGGAAACCGGAGCUAAUACCGGAUAAUAUUUUGAACCGCAUGGUUCAAAAGUGAAAGACGGUCUUGCUGUCACUUAUAGAUGGAUCCGCGCUGCAUUAGCUAGUUGGUAAGGUAACGGCUUACCAAGGCAACGAUGCAUAGCCGACCUGAGAGGGUGAUCGGCCACACUGGAACUGAGACACGGUCCAGGCUCCUACGGGAGGCAGCAGUAGGGAAUCUUCCGCAAUGGGCGAAAGCCUGACGGAGCAACGCCGCGUGAGUGAUGAAGGUCUUCGGAUCGUAAAACUCUGUUAUUAGGGAAGAACAUAUGUGUAAGUAACUGUGCACAUCUUGACGGUACCUAAUCAGAAAGCCACGGCUAACUACGUGCCAGCAGCCGCGGUAAUACGUAGGUGGCAAGCGUUAUCCGGAAUUAUUGGGCGUAAAGCGCGCGUAGGCGGUUUUUUAAGUCUGAUGUGAAAGCCCACGGCUCAACCGUGGAGGGUCAUUGGAAACUGGAAAACUUGAGUGCAGAAGAGGAAAGUGGAAUUCCAUGUGUAGCGGUGAAAUGCGCAGAGAUAUGGAGGAACACCAGUGGCGAAGGCGACUUUCUGGUCUGUAACUGACGCUGAUGUGCGAAAGCGUGGGGAUCAAACAGGAUUAGAUACCCUGGUAGUCCACGCCGUAAACGAUGAGUGCUAAGUGUUAGGGGGUUUCCGCCCCUUAGUGCUGCAGCUAACGCAUUAAGCACUCCGCCUGGGGAGUACGACCGCAAGGUUGAAACUCAAAGGAAUUGACGGGGACCCGCACAAGCGGUGGAGCAUGUGGUUUAAUUCGAAGCAACGCGAAGAACCUUACCAAAUCUUGACAUCCUUUGACAACUCUAGAGAUAGAGCCUUCCCCUUCGGGGGACAAAGUGACAGGUGGUGCAUGGUUGUCGUCAGCUCGUGUCGUGAGAUGUUGGGUUAAGUCCCGCAACGAGCGCAACCCUUAAGCUUAGUUGCCAUCAUUAAGUUGGGCACUCUAAGUUGACUGCCGGUGACAAACCGGAGGAAGGUGGGGAUGACGUCAAAUCAUCAUGCCCCUUAUGAUUUGGGCUACACACGUGCUACAAUGGACAAUACAAAGGGCAGCGAAACCGCGAGGUCAAGCAAAUCCCAUAAAGUUGUUCUCAGUUCGGAUUGUAGUCUGCAACUCGACUACAUGAAGCUGGAAUCGCUAGUAAUCGUAGAUCAGCAUGCUACGGUGAAUACGUUCCCGGGUCU